GCGUUAGUCACACCAUGACAUAAGAUUUACGCUGUAAAAACAUGUCCAGAGAUUCUCCCUGUGUAAACAUUCCACUGAAGUUUACAUAGCUUCAUGCUCGAUUGCUCUUCCUGGCUACUUCAUCAUGUGGCUGUCUCCUUGUUCGCAGGGAAUUGCCAAUGUCCGAGCCUUGAGCUGAUGCUGAGCCCGGCGACAAUCACCGAGGUCUCUCGUGUCGUCUACCACGGGUUCGCUUUCGUCCCGGUGCCCACCUCGGCCGCCGCGACAUUGCACCUGGCGCUGGGCUCGCAGGUGAUUCCGGGAACACCUCAACGUGUCGCCUUCAUCAAUGGGGCACCUGUCACCUUGUCCUUCCAGAAUGUGGACAGUCAGUAGAGGUGGGUCGGGGAGUGAGUGCCAACUUUUUAAAUUAUUUUUUUCAGUUACUGCAAUGCACGUUUUAAAACAGCGUAAGCAUUCAAGUAUUUUUAUUUCAUUUAGCAGAUUAUUUAUUCAUGUGUUAACAGUCAGCAUACGGAGCUUAGUUGUGUCAGUUCUCAGAACCGUUUAAUGCACCGCGUGUUAUUUUAUUUUGCUUCUCAGAAUUGUAUGCGUGUCCUACCUGGGUCAGUUCACCUCAGAGGCAGGGAUUGAACUGCAGUCAGAUGUGUGGAGCUCCCCUGUCUCCCCUCCCUCCCCAGGGCCUGAGGGUGCCCCUGCCCCCUGUCUGCUACUGGAGGAGGACCAGGAACCACUGGAGUCUCAUACACAGAUUGAGCCAAAGGUGGAGAGAAAGCAAUAACACUCGUCUCCAUUCACACAGAAACGUAAAGGUGGAUGGCCAAAGGGAAAGAAGAGGCAACCUCCGAGAGAGUUAACUGCCCCCAGAGUUCCAACAACAGGGUGAGAGAUGCACACACACACACAUCCACACAUAAACACACUUGUUUAUUGGGAGAGGAGAUGUUACUCUCAUUGCGAAGAGCUCUAUUGUGUGUGUGUGUGUGUGUGUGUGUGUGUGUGUGUGUGUGUGUAAUGCCCGUGUAGGGUGUUACAUAGUGUCUAGACUCUAGGGUGUAGUAGUUAUGUAAUUAGAUGUGCUCUAAGAUGAUUGCUGUUGGUGGUUGUUGUCAGGAGGACUCUUGGGAGGCCCUCACAGGUCUGUAUGUGUGUACGUGUCUGCGUGUGUGUGCGUAUGUUCCUGUGUGUGUGUGCAUGCGAAGGGGUGGUACAUAUGCAAUAUCGUUCUCUGCAAGUGUUUUUUUGUUUUGUAAGCUGUUGCAAUAGCAGUGUUUCACCAGUAAGUGGCUGUAUAGGGCUCAAGUCAGUUGUGUUCUCUUUUCAAAGUGCUGUUGAGAAUGCUUACUGUGUUCUAUGUUUUUUUGAAAGCUUUGUGUGUGUUUCUGCUCAGAGGAGUUUGAGAAGGACAGAGGCAGCCGGCAGCAGGCUCCAGGGAUGGAGAGAAGCCCUGUGGGUGAGGAAGAGGAGGCAGAGAUGGCUCGUACGUUGGGUCUGUCCUCGCUGGACAUCAGUGUGCUGCAGGAGCUGCUGCUCAGACACAUACUGACCAGCACUGACCACUAUUUGCCAUGACCACAUUCAUGACUUGGACAAAGCCAAUUUCUAAAAUAUAUAAUAGCUAACCUCCCCGUCCCGUCUGCCUGGAUCCGUUUUCCCCAGAGCUGAAGAGCCGAAUCACGUUCUGCGCAUGUUUCCUUACCUAAAUGUAGAUAUUCUUGAGUUAUACAGUGUUGUUUUGAAUUAUGGACAGUGAGCGAACUUUAGAGCAGUUGGUGGAAACAAUCUGUCGCAUAGUCUACCUGUGAGUUUUUGCCAAAAAUGUGACCAUUUGCACAAACAUCCUAACGUUCUUAAGAAAUGUGAUUGUUUUCUGUCUUACAGUAACCUUAUAAUAUGCUAUUAUGUUUGGUUAUGUUACAUGGAAUCAAUAAGUGAUCUUGCAGACAUUGAUUCAGCUUUGAUAUAACUUUAUUAAACAAAUACCGUUUAUUUCAGACUAGCCUGAUCUCUACAAGACUGUGCGACAAGUAGAGAAUCCCGCACAUGCACAGAAGUCGUGAAGAGGGCUCGACAAAACCUAUUCCCCCUCAGGAGACUAAAAAGAUUUGGCAUGGGUCCUCAGAUCCUCAAAAGGUUCUACAGCUUCACCAUCGAGAGCAUCACUGCCUAGUAUGGCAACUGUUCGGCCUCCGACCGCAAGGCACUACAGAGGGUAGUGCGUACGGCCCAUUACAUCACUGGGGCAAAGCUUCCUGCCAUCCAGGACUUAUAUACCAGGCGGUGUUAGAGGAAGGCCCUCAACAAUUGUCAAAGACUCCAGCCACCCUAGAGUAGUCUGUUCUCUCUGCUACAGCACAGCAAGCGGUACCGGAGCAUCAAGUCUAGGUACAAGAGGCUUCUAAACAGCUUCUACUACCAAGCCAUAAGACUCCUGAACAUCUAAUCAAAUGGUUACCCAGACUAUUUGCAUUGCCCCCCCCCUUUUACACCGCUGCUACUCUCUGUUGUUAUCAUCUAUGCAUAGUCACUUUACCUACAUGUACAUAUUACCUCAAUUACCUCGAUUAACCGGUGCCCCUGCACAUUGACUCUGUACCGGUACCCAUCUGUAUAUAGUCUUGCUUUUGUUAUUUUACGGCUGCUCUUUAAUUACUUGUUACUUUUAUUUCUUAUUCUUAUUUUUUAUUAUUAUAUAUAUAUUUUUUAACUGCAUUGUUGGUUAGGAGCUUGUAAGUAAGCAUUUCACUGUAAGGUCUACCUACACCCGUUGUAUUCGGCUGAUGUGACGAAUACAAUUUGAUUUGAAGCUUCAGGAACUUUAGUGUUGGAAAGAGGGGUCCAGGAAAGUUGUAUCUGCAGCCACUCCGUUCUAACAACCACACUGAAACGCUGUCUUUAGUUCUACACCUCUCUCUCAACCAACAGUGAAUUAAAGUGUUACUGUGUACUGUC